rnacentral:rRNA from 1 species
GAUGAACGCUAGCGGCAGGCCUAACACAUGCAAGUCGAGGGGCAUCGGGAUUGAAGCUUGCUUCAAUUGCCGGCGACCGGCGCACGGGUGCGUAACGCGUAUGUAACCUACCUAUAACAGGGGCAUAACACUGAGAAAUUGGUACUAAUUCCCCAUAAUAUUCGGAGAGGCAUCUCUCCGGGUUGAAAACUCCGGUGGUUAUAGAUGGACAUGCGUUGUAUUAGCUAGUUGGUGAGGUAACGGCUCACCAAGGCAACGAUACAUAGGGGGACUGAGAGGUUAACCCCCCACACUGGUACUGAGACACGGACCAGACUCCUACGGGAGGCAGCAGUGAGGAAUAUUGGUCAAUGGACGCAAGUCUGAACCAGCCAUGCCGCGUGCAGGAAGACGGCUCUAUGAGUUGUAAACUGCUUUUGUACGAGGGUAAACUCACCUACGUGUAGGUGACUGAAAGUAUCGUACGAAUAAGGAUCGGCUAACUCCGUGCCAGCAGCCGCGGUAAUACGGAGGAUUCAAGCGUUAUCCGGAUUUAUUGGGUUUAAAGGGUGCGUAGGCGGUUUGAUAAGUUAGAGGUGAAAUCCCGGGGCUUAACUCCGGAACUGCCUCUAAUACUGUUAGACUAGAGAGUAGUUGCGGUAGGCGGAAUGUAUGGUGUAGCGGUGAAAUGCUUAGAGAUCAUACAGAACACCGAUUGCGAAGGCAGCUUACCAAACUAUAUCUGACGUUGAGGCAC